ACUUGAAACCGUUGAGAAGGAAGCAAUGGGGGCUGGCCAAGGCGGAUGAUGUCUGACGCAUGCGAAGGUUGAGGGGUUCGUCAAAGGCCCGGAUGCUGGAGCUGAGGAAAGAUCUCUCGUCGCUGAAGGUAGGAUGGGGUCCGGCUGCGUCAGAAGCUUCUUAUCUUUGGAUACGGAGUGAGGCGUGGCGGGGCCUGAGGGGCUUAUGCGAUCCUGCCGUAACGGUCUCCAUCGACCCGUCUUGAAACACGGACCAAGGAGUCUACCACUUGUGCGAGUUUGCGAGUGUAAAACUCAUAGGCGCAAUGAAAGUAAGGUUAGGAUGCCAAGGGGUAACCCGGCAGCAUCAGCCGUCUACCGACUGUUGUUGGUGGUAUGAGCAAGAGCACAAUUGUUAGGACCCGAAAGAUGGUGAACUAUGCUUGAGUAGACUGAAGCCAUGGGAAACUCUGGUGGAAGGUCGUAGCGGUACUGACGUGCAAAUCGUUCGUGGAACUUGAGUAUAGGGGCGAAAGACUAAUCGAACCAUCUAGUAGCUGGUUCCCUCUGAAGUUUCUCUCAGGAUAGCUGGAACAUUGAUGCAGUUUUAUUAGGUAAAGCGAAUGAUUAGGGGUAUCGGGGAAAAUAUUUUCUCGACCCAUUCUCAAACUUUAAAUUGGUAAGCACCCCAGCGUUUACUUAACUGAACAUGGGGGUUGAAUGCGUGUUCUUAGUGGGCCAUUUUUGGUAAGCAGAACUGGCGAUGAGGGAUGAACCUAACGUUGAGGUAAGGCGCCAAAAUCCGCAAUAAUUUGACACCAUAAAAGGUGUUGAUUCAUAAAGACAGCAGGACGGUG
rnacentral:rRNA from 1 species